rnacentral:lncRNA from 1 species
GGGAACACUGACACUGGAGCGCGCAUGCACGAGAGGACUCCAUGUUUUCUUUCUCUCUUUGAACGAAUACAACGUCACCCAGUUGGAAUAUUAUCGCUAUUUUACGAGAAAAAUCGCAUAAAAAUUGAUUUUAAACAGCGUUUGACAUGCUUCGAAGUACGGUAAUGGAAUAUUUUGAAUUUUUUUGUCACGAAAUGCGCCCGCGCGUCACCCUUCGGAUACUGACCUCAACGCACGAACAAAACGGAGCUAUUUCAAUAUAACUAUGGAUUAUUUCGAACCAAAACAACAUUUGUUGUUGAAGUAGAAGUCCUGGGAGUGCAUUCUGACGAAGAACAGCAAAGACAGUUACUACAUCAGUGAAGCACCUGGACAUCCACAUCAAGGCCAUCUCAGCCCUCUGGCUCACAUCCAUCUGAGAGGAGGCAGAGGGGAAUGAGGACUGGUUCUGUCCCUCAACAGCAAGCAUCUGUUUCACUCUGGUGCCAUCUAGUUGACCAGACUAAAACUGCAGCAGACUAUAUUCUCUCUCGCUCUCGCUCUCUCUCUCUCACUCACACACAAACACGUGCACAUGCACACAUGAACACAUGCAAAUGCAAGCAUUUAUUCAAAACAACAGCUGACUCGUAGAGUGGUUAGCAGUUGCAGUGGAAAUAUGUAGAAAAACCUGUCUGAGAAGGAAGAGAAUAGGAGAGGGAGAGUUUGGUGAGUGAUUAGGGGGUGAAUGGAUAAACUGUAGUAGUCAAUGGGCCACCCACCAAUAAAUGCUUCAGAAAAGGCAUUGCAAAGUUUCAACAUAAUUACGUAGAUAAUUUAAUGGAAAUUAACACUGUGUGGUUUAAUAAUGGUACAAGUUGCAGAUUAAUUAAAUAUUAUAAAUCAAAAGGUAACAUUUUUAAAUCAUAGCACAUUUUGGGUAAUUUCCCCUAAUGCAUUUUGGGUAAUUUCCCCUAGCAACAUUAUGAGGUUGCUAUUUUACACCUAGGUUACAAUUGUUAAACAUGUUCCAUUGUCCAUGCUUGCAGGAAGCAAUUUAAGUGAAGGACCAGAGGAAUCCUGAAAUAACACGAGAUUAGAAGCUGUUGAAAGGUGCUAAAAGCAUUUUUCUCAGAUGCCAGAAUAGCAGUCUAUGCAGCUUUCUGGACCUUGAAUGUUUUGAGAGCUGUUGUUAGCUAGCAAAUUGCUGUCUUUAGUUUGGAUAGCAGGCAAACACAAUGGUGGCCCUUGUAGGCUAAAUAUAUCUGGCAAAAUGUCUUAUAUUAACUGAGAACACCACUACAUGGUUAAAACAUAUUACCUAAUUUCAGGGUUAAUCUGGAUCAGUGAAGGACUGGUAAGUGCUGCUUGAAUUUAUGCAAGGACAAACAUGAAUAGUGAAUAGUGUGACUAGUGUGUGUAAGUACAGUAGUAUUUUUGUUGUGUCUUUCCAAUAUUUAACUAUUUUCUUCUUAUUUUUUUUAAUGUUUUUGAUUAUUAUUCUAAUAAUUGUAUUUAAUGUCCUUGUCUAUAACUGUUCUGUACUUUGUCAUGUUCUGUGAGUUUGUGUGGCCUACCACUUCGCAGCUGAGCUUUUUUGAUCCUAGAUGUUUCUACUUCACAAUAACAGCACUUACAGUUGACCGGGGCAGCUCUAGUAGGGCAGAAAUUUGACGAACUGACUGGAAAGGUGGCAUCCUAUGCCGGUGCCACGUUGAAAGUCAUUGAGCUCUUCAGUAAGGCCGUUCUACUGCCAAUGUUUGUCUAUGGAGAUUGCAUGGCGGUGUGCUUGAUUUUACAGGUGUGGCUGAAAUAGCCGAAUCCACUAUUUUGAAGGGGUGUCCACAUACGUUUGUAUAUAUAGUGUAGUUGAACCACACAGUGUUCAUAUUCAUAACAUUAUCUACAUAACGUUGUUGACAUGUUACAGUUUUGUUUCCAGGGUAACUGAACAACACAUGUUUGGUUGGUGGCAACAUAGAAAUAGAAUGAAGAGAACGGGCUUGGAAGCUCUAACCCUGGCAAUUUGACUGGUAAUCUCGCAAUGGCUGCCUGAUAUUGUGAUGCAAUAAUUUCCAUGGUGUUACGUUCUAUGGUGUUUCGUUCUAUCAACUGAUGCUGGAUUGAUGCAUGGUAAUGUAGAAUGUUCAUUCAAAUUAUGCCAACUAAUUUGGCUCAUGCAAUGGAAAGUGCUUUUUGUAAUGUCAUUGGGUCAAUAAAUCACAGCACAUAUUGAAGGGUACACUUCCUGCUUUUACUUCCUGGCAUGGUUACACUCACACUGGCUGGCAGUCCACCCAAUAUACCAUUAUCAUCUUGAAUGGAGACAUCCUUUCUAUUUCUAUGGGUGGCCCUGGGACUAUAAGAAAGGACUAAAGAAUCAGGAAGAUGUGUAAAUAUCCCAAACCAACUCUCUUACUCUCUAUGCCCCUUCUUCCUCCCACCUCUCUCUCUUUCCUUUCCAAGUUGUUGCAUAUCAAGAUGUUGUUGAUCGUUUGAUAUUCUGAGCAUCUAUAGGGACUAUCCAAACAGUGGGAUCUUGGCAGUUCAGCAUAUGCCAUAGACUACAUUGCAUGUUUUACCAUUCUCUCUCUCACCCCUCUCUUUCUCUGGUGUGUGUUUACAGUCAAAGCUCUUUGAGGAAAAAGAGUGAAAAUGUGGCUCGUUCCUGAUUGUUGGCAUAGUAACCGCUGUGAUCGUUAUCAUCUUCAUUCUGUUGACCACUGGAGUCAUUCCCAUGAAUGUCACACCACCCUGAGACACAUGCAUGGACACACUAACAUUCACACUGUGUGUAAUGCAAUGUCUUUGUAUGCAUUAUAAAUAAAGCACACACAAAAUCAUGCAUACCCACUUUUACAAUGCAUGCAUACAAACAUGCGUACAGAGCAAACACAUAUCUGAAGCAUCAUGGGUUAUAUUGCACUUUAAGUAUGAAC